CUCUCCUGAGGGGUUAUUCCGGUGCUCUGCCCGUGCACUCUGGUGUUAAUUAACUGCCGGCGAAGACGGAGGAUGGACGGUCCGGGGGCGGCGAUGGAAAUACGUGGCAUUGGGAAAAGAGUCUGAGAGGCGGAAAAGGGACCGACCUACGAAAACCUUGGCUACUUCAAAAAACGGUUUUUAAGAAAUGCCGCGUGUGCGUAGAAUGGGUGCUCCGGGGAAACAACGUUUAGGAAAGCAAAGCAACAAACCAGAUCGAAGGCGGCGGGGAACAAAAUAAAGGCGUAUUACAUCAAGACUC